UGAGAGGCAUAACUUAGUUGUCUGUUACUCUACUGAGAAGUGUGACGGGAUCAUAACAUGGGAGGUAGGGGGUCGACACUCGACAAUAGAUUAUGCGUUAAUGUCACAUAGCAUGUACGAUAGAUUAGGAGCCAUGAUUAUAGAUGAACAGGGCUCCAGAAGUAUAGGUACCGACCGCAAACGUAUCAAGUUGAGUUUUAAGAGGGAAACUAAAGCACGAACGAGGGGUGAGGAACAGCUAGAUCAGAUUUUUUACUCAGGAGAGCAAGUGGAAAUAGCGGCCAAACAGAUUGAAGAGGAAAUAUCAGAGGGUACUGAAACUGACUCGACUUACCCAAAAUUAACGAGACUAUUUGAGCGUGAGCUAGGUAAGGUGCGAGUGAGGAGAACAGGGCAAGGGAUACAAAAACUCAAGAGCUGGUGGGAUGAACAGGUUAAGAGGCCAUAAAGAAAUGUCAGGAAGCCCCCAGGGAACACAGGCAUUCCAAAAGUAAGGGAGAACCUGAAACACAAGUACAUAGAAAAUGGGAAAACUACAUAAAAUGCAGUAGGGAAGCAUCCUAUUUGAUGAAUGAGAAAAUUAAGACAAAAGGGCCCGAAGGCUGUCAGAAGUAAGCAAUAAAAAAGAUAAACAGGCAGCUAGGAAAUUCUGGCAACAUCUGAACUCCUUGGGUAAUAGGACAAGCCUAGAGCAGAGAUAUAUAGUAACAGCUCAAGGUACUCGGUUAGGAGGAGAGGAGGCAAUGGAGCAUAUAGGAACCAUGAUGAGGGAAAAAUUUAAAGAACAGAGAAAUGGUACAUGCAGUAUGUCGGAGAGGGAUAGCCCGGUCAAUCCACUGCUUUUGCUUGGACAAAGAGAGUGGGAAAGGGCCGAGAAGAGGGUACCAAGUAGCACAUCGGCAGGCCUGGAUGGUAUUCCAAUUAUGUUAAUAAAGAAAUUGGGCCCGAAAUCUAAGAAAGCAUUAAGGGAGGUGGUGAGCAAAAUGUUAAUGGAUGGUAAAGUACCUGACAAAUGGAGGCUAAGUAGGAUGAGAAUGGUAUAUAAGGGAAAGGGGGACAAAGCUGACAUAAAUAACUACCAGCCUAUAACAGUGACGUCAGUGGUUUACAGGGUGGUUAUGCAGAUUAUAAAGGACAGACUGGAGGCAUGGGUAGAGAGCGAGUGGGUGCUUGGAGAGCUACAAAAUGGGUUCCGGAAGCAUAGGAGGCUAGACGACAAUCUGUUCUCACUGACACAGUACAUUGAAAUAGCUGAAAAGGAACACAGACUCCUAUGGCUGGCUUUCUUGGAUAUCAAGGGAGCCUAUGACCGUGUACUUCAAGAGGGCUUGUGGGGCAUUCUGGAAACUUUAGGAGUGCAAGAUGGAAUUACCAAUUUCUUAAAAGAUAUGUAUAAAUGUAACCGGGUGAUUAUAUAAUGGUAAACGCAGGUUUUGGAGCCUGUAAUGAUUCGGCGAGGAAUUAGGCAGGGGUGUCCAUUGUCACCUCUGUUGUUUAUGCUGUACCUACAAGGAUUAGAGGCCAAAAUACAACAAAGUGGACUCGGCUUCAACCUAUCGUUUUUCAAACAAGGAAAAUUGAUUGAACAGUCAUUACCAGGACUGAUGCAUGCGGAUGAUAUUGUAUUAAUGGCUGACAAUACAGAAGACCUGCAGGGAUUGAUGGACAUAUGUGGUACAGAAGGAGACAGAUUAGGCUUGAAGUUUACCAAAGGAAAAUCAGCAGUCAUGAUUUUUAAUGAUAGCAUUUGCGGCGAGCACAGGAUACAGGAGGCCACACUCGAGAUAGUCGAUAAGUACAAGUAUCUCGGGGUGUGGAUAAAUAAUGGAAUUGAGUAUCUCACAGAGUAUGAAAAAUAUGUAACGACUAAAGGUAACAGAAGUGCAACAAUUAUGAAGAGUAGGGCAGUGUGGAACUACAAUAGGUACGAGGUAGUACAAGGGAUAUGGAAGGGGGUAAUGGUUCCGGGCCUGACUUUUGCCAAUGCAGUUCUAUGUAUGAGAGCAGAUACCCGGGUACAGUUGGAAACUAGGCAACAUGGUAUGAGUAGGCUCGCUUUGGGAGCACAUGGCAAGACACCAAAUCUUGGGGUGCAGGGGGAUCUGGGAUGGUCUUCUUUCGAGGGCAGAAAGGCCAGUAGCAAGAUAGCAUUUGAGGAGCGAUUGAGAAAAAUGAAGGAAAUGCGGUGGGCUAGGAAGGUUUUCAGUUACUUAUACACAAGGAAUGUUGACACAAGGUGGAGGAAGCGAACUAGAAAAUUGUGAAGGAAAUACUUGGGCAGGAGUGGGGAGACAGGUAAGGAAUCAUCUGUCAAGAAAAAGGUUAAGGAGACCGAGAGGCGUAUGUGGAAAACAGAGAUGCAAACCAAAUCGGCAUUAGAGACAUACAGGACAUUUAAGCAAGAAAUAGUCAGAAAAUAUUUACAAAAACGCUAAGGGAAGCUCAUUGUUGUGUGAGGACAGGUGUACUGCGGACUAAAAUUUACCGAGCCACAUACCAGGAGAUAGACUUGUGCUGGGCGUAUGGAGAGAAGGAGGAAAUGGCUGAACACUUAAUACUUGUAAACGACUUCACCCUGCAGUUGAAUGUAACAGGGAACUAUUCAAAGUUAUGGGUUUUAAAAACAGUGAAGGUAAAAUAAACUUUGAACAGGUAGAAAUAACUAAACGGAGGCUAUCUUAUUGGUGGAUAAUAUCAACACACAAGUAAAGGAAUAAGUACAUAGGUAUGCAUGCAUAUAGUAUCAUUGAAGGCGCGCCACCCAAUUCAAAGGGUUGAGCCUCAUUCAUCCAUCCACCCAAAAAGAAAAGGCGCCCCAUCUAGUGUCAGCAGUAACAACGACCUGCUGAACCGUGACCUAAGUUGCGAUGAAACGUCUGCAGUCGGGAUAGGCAUCGAUAUUGAGUCUGCGAAAACAGAGCCAGGAUCAGUGGAAAUCCAGGAGUGGGAUGGCACUGCCACCAAAGCUGCAUGUUGCCCAUUGGAAAGCUUGUGGGAUGACAUACCACAUCCAUUUCUGCUUUUUGAUUCACGGGCACAACAUAUACAUGAGCCUGACGGGGUGAAGAGCGUCGACAUCGAGUCAGUGAAAACGCAGUCAGGACCAGAGCAAAUGCAGGAGGAUGACGCCAAUGCCACAAAAGCUACUUGUUGGUUGUUUGGAAGCUUGUACGGCGACAUACCACUUUCAUUUGUACCUUCCGAUUCAAGGGGACACCGUAUACUUGAGCUUGACGGGGGAAGAGUGUCGACAUGGAGUUUGCAAAAAGCACACUCGGGACAAGAAAUUAAGGAAGAGAACGCCACUGCUACAAAAGCUGCUUGUGCACCGUUCGAAAGCUUGUGUGGCGACGUCAUUUCUGCCUUCUGAUUUGUGGGGACACCAUAUGCUCGAGCUUGACGGGGUGAAAAGUGUCGUAUUUUCACAAAUGAAAAGCGCGAAGAAACUUGAUUAUGCCUUGUCAGAUAAAUCCUCGGUACCACGCACCACUACGACAUUUGUCAACCCCAGGAUCACGGAAAUCGAUGAAAAAAUGAAUGCAAAGGUGGUGUUAAUGGGUCAGUCCGUUCCCUUGUCAAGGCUGCAAUACACGGGUUCUUUGGCUACUACGGAAGAAGUCGGAGCGCUUCUCAAGCAUGUGGUCGAAAUCAGUAUCUGCAGUAGUGGGCCCACCUUUCUCAAAUUCUAACAUGUUGAGCCAGAAAGUGCAUAUACUGAUAUUUGCCACAAAUGGCGCCACAAAAAAUGCUCCAUGAUCCUCAGCGGGUAUUCCCUGUCAUGUGAAAAGUGCCGCAAUCUCUCGAACACGCUGCAAACCAGACAAAAAAGGAUGGAAGAGAAGAAAUGCCAGUCAAAGCCAGGCCGUCUUCGUCUUCCUUCUUCACAGUGGAAAAAUGUCAAUGUUGAAGCACUACGCCACACAAAUUAUGCUUUGAAAAGGCAGAAAAAUUGUCUGCUAAGGCGAUUCAAUGGACCUUUUAAAUGAGGUCAAACAAGCACAUAAUCGACUGCAGCUGGUGUCAGAAGGAAUUGAGAGCAUUCUGAGCAGGCUCGACUUCCCUGUGACACAGCUGGCUGUGGUCAAGGAGUGCAUUGUAGCUGCCAAAGUGGCGGAAAAAAAAAGAAAGCUGUCGGUAUAUGUAAGAAUGGCUACUGAUGGGUCUCCUGCUACAUAUCCGCAGCCCAUCAGCAUGCUCUUUCCUCAGAGGCAACAAUUUUCUACCUCUUCCUUGUGCAGCAACUGUGCCGAAAUACUUAAGCAUGGUGUGUGUUAAGUGUGGCUUCGACACGAGGUUCUUUGCAGCAUGCAAGAAGAAAAUGGCAACAAAAGACAAGUUUCAACGACAUGGCAUACUUGUUUUUGACGAGAUGAAAGAGGAAAGAAAUGAGGGCAUAUGCUGAGUCAAUGACUUACAGUGGCUUCAGUGACUUUGGGGACACUGCAACUGCGAGCGAUGACCUUGUAGACCAUGGGCUGGUUUUUGCUUUCCGUUCCUUUGACCAUUAUUCCCAGCCUAUUGCUGUUUUCGCAAGUAAAGGACCGACGAAUGGAACAAUCCUUGUGCAGCUUAUCUUAAAGGCUAUUUUUCGCUUGAGGAGGCUGGUGCUUUCGUGGAUGGAACUGUUUGUAAUGGUGCUAGCACCAAUGGGGUCUUGGAAAGCGUUCACAGUAAGUGCUUCAUGACUGCUGGAGGCACUCCCUGCAACCGCUUGGCUGUAGCCACUGGUCGAGCACCCAAGCGGAAUCUGCCUAGCACACGGGGCACCAUGGCUGACAUAUUCAAGGGCAAACCUGUACUCAAGAAGAACGGCAAGUCGUUUCUGGCCAACCAGACGCUCCACGACAAGCAGCUCAUCUGCCUCUACUUCGCCGUGCAGUGGUGUCCACCAUGCCACAUGUUCACACCCGUCCUGGUCAACGUCUACGAGGAAUGCAAAGGAGGAUAAUCUGACCAUCGAGGUCCAAGAAGGCCCAGCCUUUCCACCAGUCGAGCUCAAUCACGCCUCCUUCAAGCAACACAAUAAAGGGUGAUGUCAACAUGUUCGUGGCUUCAGUGUUCCACCAGUCACAUAACUCAUCUAGGCGCUGGUCGGGGACCACUUCCCGAGCACCUCGAAGCAGCAGUGCCCACCGAGGCCUAGAUCCACGCCGAAGGCUACAGCCGAGGUCCCAUACCAAUUCACCAUGGCCGAGGAGCGUCGGGAAAUCUGUGGACAGCGCUCGGGGAGGAGACAAAAGACACUCACACGUAGUGACACAAUCUUGAUUUUAAAGAAACAAAUAAAAAGAAAUCACCCACACAAAUUGUACUGGUAUAGAGGGUCCUUCAAUCACUGUGAUUUCAUUUAAAAGUACAAAUAAAGAGAAACACAGAGUGAAAUUGUA